UAUUGCCCUUUCUGUGGCAUCCAGUGGCCGACUUUGCCAAGAUUUUGCAGUUCAUGUGGGCGAGAUGUAAGCUUUGUCGUAGAGAAUGCCCCUAGAACGGCGGGUGAUGACCAGGUGUCAUGUCAGACUGUGCCCAGAGUUACUGAUGCAUGUUCCAUUCCAGCAAAGUCCGCUUCAGCUGUUCUUCAGUUCAUGAAAUACAGAGAGCUAAAAGAAACUGAAAGGAAAACAUUCUCAAAAAGGAAAAAGAAAUCAAAUAAAACAGUAAAGAUUUCUGUUGGGAUUAUGAGCAAGACCAAGAAUGGCUUGAAGCCCAUGAGAGGAAAAAACCUACCUCUACCUGUUGACCCCCAGUGGUCAUCUGAGCAACUUUUGGAAGCUGCUGUGAAAAAACUAAAAGAUUUCAAUCAAGACAUGGAAGAUGGAGAAUAUGUCUUGCUUUAUCCAGAUGGCUCUCGGAUAAAAAAUAUCCCUGGGACUGACACACAUUUUACCAUUGGACAGUACAAAGAGGCCAUU